AGUGAACGCUGGCGGUAGGCCUAACACAUGCAAGUCGAACGGCAGCACAGUAAGAGCUUGCUCUUACGGGUGGCGAGUGGCGGACGGGUGAGGAAUACGUCGGAAUCUACUUUUUCGGGGGGGAUAACGUAGGGAAACUUACGCUAAUACCGCAUACGACCUACGGGUGAAAGCAGGGGAUCUUCGGACCUUGCGCGAUUGAAUGAGCCGAUGUCGGAUUAGCUAGUUGGCGGGGUAAAGGCCCACCAAGGCGACGAUCCGUAGCUGGUCUGAGAGGAUGAUCAGCCACACUGGAACUGAGACACGGUCCAGACUCCUACGGGAGGCAGCAGUGGGGAAUAUUGGACAAUGGGCGCAAGCCUGAUCCAGCCAUACCGCGUGGGUGAAGAAGGCCUUCGGGUUGUAAAGCCCUUUUGUUGGGAAAGAAAAGCAGCAGGUUAAUACCCCGCUGUUCUGACGGUACCCAAAGAAUAAGCACCGGCUAACUUCGUG
rnacentral:rRNA from 1 species